GUGCAUGUUGGGUUUUAUUUUUUUUAUUCUUUCCUGUGGAUUACACCUUGCCUUUUAAAUGCUAUAUUGAAGUCUAGAGUUCUCAGGACUGCCAGCUGUAAAGAACAGACUGGGUGGUAGUAUUUUACUCCUACAAUU